GAGAGCCACCCCGUUAGAACAAAAGAUGCUUUUUUCACUCAGGACGUUACAAAGGAGCUCUGUGUCAGAAGCUAGGAUUAAAGAACAAAUACAGAACAAAUUAUUCCUCCAGCACCCCUACUGCAAGGGUUUUAAGAACUCUAUCUCAGGAUAAAGACCUGAGGGUCACAUGUACAUUGCUGGCCCCAGCUGGAUUUUCCCAGGGUCAGGUGCCCAUUCCUACCUAAUCAAAGGACACUUCUGCUGACCUGCACCUAGAAUACCCUGUUCUGUGCUGAUGACUCAGAUGUAAGAAUGAUGAAGUGCAUCAGUUGGCAUGCAGAGAACAAUAAGAAAAAGAACUGAGUUGUGGGAAGACAUGAGGAAAGGACAUGAGGCUCUUAAUAACAGCUGCCAAGUACUGCAGUCGGGAAUCUGGAGCAAAGUGAUUCAAUUCUGACCACUGCCUGAGGGAGUAAGUCUAGCAGGGAGGCAGGCUUGGUCUCCCAGUUGCUGAAACACAAAAUGUUGAGGUAUUUCCUGGCAGAAUCUGCUCAUUUAGGGGAGGCUCAGAGAGACUGAGAAAGUGAAAAAUGUGUUCUAAUGACUCACGCUGCUAAGAAGAAAAACAAUCCAGACUUGGAGCCCAUUAAGAAGGGAGAACAGGUUGAAAUUUUGAAGAGUGGCACCAUAGGAGAGCAGUUUUCAAAGUGUGAUCCAGGCACCAGCAGAUGGAGGAAUUAGUGAAAAGCAAGGGAAGUUAGAGGCCUGGGUCUGUGCCACCGGGCAGCCCCAAGGACAGGAAGUCAGCUCCUCUCCUGCUGGUGUUAAGAGGGAUGAGUGGAGAGCAGAAGACUGGAGCGAUGACAGUUGAUGCAGACAGUGCUGGAAGUUUGCCAACUUCGAUUUGGGUAUAUCAAUGCAUUUGCAGAAAAAAUAGACUGAAUCUUAAGAACAAAGCACUAAGUAUUAGUGGCAUUCUCAAGGAGAAAAAAGAUACCUAGAAGUUUCUAGUGAAGAAAGCUUAAAAUGCUUUGCAAGCUAACUUCUAGGACCACCUGUUUUGUCAUUAAGAGACUGGCUAGGUCAUAAGAUGUUUCAAAAGACAAAACAAAUGCACUAUACUGCAGCAAGUGUGGACUGCAAUUUUUCCUGAGGCAUGUUUACUGAGUAGGUCCCACUCUGAACAAAGGGAUUCAUCUCAGUUUGUUCUACUGCAACUAAUAUGUAACAAGCAGCAAUUUAUUUCUUGUUUGACUUUAACAAAAAUCAAACCUGAUACAGUGGGUUUAAAGGCGGUUGAAACAGAGUACAUCUGGCACAUAAUAGGGUGGGGGCUGUUAGAGACCUCAAUUCCAUGACCAUCUAUACCACGCAUCAACCACAAGAUCACAAAUAAGAGUCUUAAAUUUUUAGCUUUUGUUUUCUGAUUUAAGAAAUGGAGAUUGGAAGAAGAAAUUCUCAUUUCUUCAUUCAUUUGACAGUUAUAUUUUGCAUAUCUACUGUGCAUGCACUGAGCUACAAACAUCAGCAUGGGCAUUUUCUGAGGCUUUCCAUGGCUGUACAGAAGACACAUUCGUCCAAUAAUAAUACUCAUAAGCAGAUAAAUGCUUGAAACAAGCUCAAAAUAUUCUGAGAGUCACAGAAAAGAGGAACUGGGCCUAGACUGGGAUUGAGGCUGUGGAAUAAGGGGCCGGAAAGCUUUCUCUGAAGACAUGAUAUGUAAGCUGAGAUCACGCACACACACACAAAAAAAUAGGAAAGCUUGUUACCAGACAAUAGGCAUCAAGUAAGACUAGAAGAACUUUCUCCAGGAGCAUCUGCAGCUCCUGUUAAAACUGUUGGAUGCAGACAGAACACUAGGCU